rnacentral:misc_RNA from 1 species
CUGAGUUUACGCUCUACAACCCUUUGUGAACAUACCUAUAACUGUUGCUUCGGCGGGUAGGGUCUCCGCGACCCUCCCGGCCUCCCGCCUCCGGGCGGGUCGGCGCCCGCCGGAGGAUAACCAAACUCUGAUUUAACGACGUUUCUUCUGAGUGGUACAAGCAAAUAAUCA